CCUACGGGUGGCUGCAGUGGGGAAUAUUGGACAAUGGGGGAAACCCUGAUCCAGCCAUGCCGCGUGUGUGAAGAAGGCCCUCGGGUUGUAAAGCACUUUCAGUGAGGAAGAACGCCUGGUGGUUAAUACCCAUCAGGAAAGACAUCACUCACAGAAGAAGCACCGGCUAACUCCGUGCCAGCAGCCGCGGUAAUACGGAGGGUGCGAGCGUUAAUCGGAAUUACUGGGCGUAAAGCGCGCGUAGGUGGCUUGAUAAGCCGGUUGUGAAAGCCCCGGGCUCAACCUGGGAACGGCAUCCGGAACUGUCAAGCUAGAGUGCAGGAGAGGAAGGUAGAAUUCCCGGUGUAGCGGUGAAAUGCGUAGAGAUCGGGAGGAAUACCAGUGGCGAAGGCGGCCUUCUGGACUGACACUGACACUGAGGUGCGAAAGCGUGGGUAGCAAACAGGAUUAGAUACCCUAGUAGUC
rnacentral:rRNA from 1 species